UACGUAGGGUGCGAGCGUUAAUCGGAAUUACUGGGCGUAAAGCGUGCGCAGGCGGUUCGUUAAGUCAGAUGUGAAAGCCCCGGGCUCAACCUGGGAACUGCAUUUGAAACUGGCGGGCUUGAGUGUGGCAGAGGGGGGUGGAAUUCCGCGUGUAGCAGUGAAAUGCGUAGAGAUGCGGAGGAACACCGAUGGCGAAGGCAGCCCCCUGGGCCAACACUGACGCUCAGGCACGAAAGCGUGGGGAGCGAUCCGG
rnacentral:rRNA from 1 species